rnacentral:rRNA from 1 species
GACGAACGCUGGCGGCGUGCUUAACACAUGCAAGUCGAACGGAAAGGCCCUGCUUUUGUGGGGUGCUCGAGUGGCGAACGGGUGAGUAACACGUGAGUAACCUGCCCUUGACUUUGGGAUAACUUCAGGAAACUGGGGCUAAUACCGGAUAGGAGCUCCUGCUGCAUGGUGGGGGUUGGAAAGUUUCGGCGGUUGGGGAUGGACUCGCGGCUUAUCAGCUUGUUGGUGGGGUAGUGGCUUACCAAGGCUUUGACGGGUAGCCGGCCUGAGAGGGUGACCGGCGACAUUGGGACUGAGAUACGGCCCAGACUCCUACGGGAGGCAGCAGUGGGGAAGAUGGCACAAUGGGCGGAAGCCGGAUGCAGCAACGCCGCGUGCGGGAUGACGGCCUUCGGGUUGUAAACCGCUUUGGCCUGUGACGAAGCGUGAGUGACGGUAAUGGGUAAAGAAGCACCGGCUAACUACGUG